AAAACCAACAGUCUAAUCUUUAUAAAAAGCGAGAAAUACGUAUAAAUUACAUAAACAAACAACAACUAAUGUACAUCAGAUUCCUGACUUAGGACAGGUGCAAACAUUUGCAGCGGGACUAAACGUUUUAGUUUGUUCUCCCUUUUUCUGAAACAAUAGCAUAACAUCACAACAUAGAAAAACACACGAUAAAAUAUCAAUUGGCAGGCUUAACUCAAUCAAAAAACGUAAAUUAACACAUUAUGAACGAUUAAAUUUGAUCUGCGAUAUCUGAAUGCAAAUGCACAGUUAAUAAAAUAUUAGGGGCAAACAUUUAAGGCCAAAAAGCA
rnacentral:lncRNA from 1 species